AAAAAAACAUACACGAAAUACCUGGUUGAUCCUGCCAGUAGCAUAUGCUUGUCUCAAAGAUUAAGCCAUGCAUGUCUAAGUACAAGCCGCUAGACGGCGAAACCGCGAAUGGCUCAAUAAAUCAGUUAUGGUUCCUUAGAUCCACUCCAUCCUACUUGGAUAACUGUGGUAAUUCUAGAGCUAAUACAUGCACUCGAG
rnacentral:rRNA from 1 species